AGGGUUUGAUUCUGGCUCAGGAUGAACGCUGGCGGCGUGCUUAACACAUGCAAGUCGAACGAAGCACUUUAUUUGAUUUCCUUCGGGACUGAUUAUUUUGUGACUGAGUGGCGGACGGGUGAGUAACGCGUGGGUAACCUGCCUUGUACAGGGGGAUAACAGUUGGAAACGGCUGGUAAUACCGCAUAAGCGCACAGUACCGCAUGGUACAGUGUGAAAAACUCCGGUGGUACGAGAUGGACCCGCGUCUGAUUAGCUGGUUGGCGGGGUAACGGCCCACCAAGGCGACGAUCAGUAGCCGACCUGAGAGGGUGACCGGCCACAUUGGGACUGAGACACGGCCCAG
rnacentral:rRNA from 1 species